GACGAACGCUGGCGGCGUGCCUAACACAUGCAAGUCGAACGGAGUAUUCAGAAAUGGAUACUUAGUGGCAAACGGGUGAGUAACGCGUAGACAACCUGCCUUAAAGCCGGGGACAACACCGCGAAAGUGGUGCUAAUACCGGAUGUGGUAUCAAUGUCGCAUGACAGGGAUAAGAAAGGUGGCCUCUAUAUAUAAGCUACCGCUUUAAGAUGGGUCUGCGUCUGAUUAGCUAGUUGGUGGGGUAAAAGCCUACCAAGGCGACGAUCAGUAGCCGGUCUGAGAGGAUGAACGGCCACACUGGGACUGAGACACGGCCCAGACUCCUACGGGAGGCAGCAGUGGGGAAUCUUCCGCAAUGGACGAAAGUCUGACGGAGCAACGCCGCGUGAGUGAAGAAGGUCUUCGGACUGUAAAGCUCUGUCGUUUGGGACGAACGUGGGUAGGGUGAAUAAUCCUAACUAAUGACGGUACCAAAGGAGGAAGCCACGGCUAACUACGUGCCAGCAGCCGCGGUAAAAC
rnacentral:rRNA from 1 species